UCUGAUUUAACAUAUCUAUUUAAAUGUGGCAGAUUGUAAAUCUGUUUAAACCCAAGUGGACA
rnacentral:tRNA from 1 species